AAACGAUGCUGACUAGUUGUUCGGGAUUUUAUCCUGAGUAACGUAGCUAACGCGUGAAGUCAGCCGCCUGGGGAGUACGGUCGCAAGAUUAAAACUCAAAGGAAUUGACGGGGACCCGCACAAGCGGUGGAUGAUGUGGAUUAAUUCGAUGCAACGCGAAAAACCUUACCUACCCUGACAUGUAACAACGAAGUAGAGAUACAUUCGGUGCUCGUAAGAGAAGUUAACACAGGUGCUGCAUGGCUGUCGUCAGCUCGUGUCGUGAGAUGUUGGGUUAAGUCCCGCAACGAGCGCAACCUUGUCUUUAGUGCUACGUAAGAGC
rnacentral:rRNA from 1 species